UUGGGAUUUCCGGAAUAAAGACCACACAACAACUAUCAGCUUCCAGGGAAGUCACUCCUUACUGGAAAACAAAGCACAUAAUUGCCUUGAAUUCAGCUUAAGCAAUAUUAAUAGAGGAAAAGCACAGUCACAGCUGUUGGGGAGAAUCCUUUGGCAGCUCUUCAGAUUUUUGAGCAAUGCCUCCUGGACCGGUUGUGAUCAUCUCUCAGGGUGGCAUCUUAUUUGUGCAUGCCUGAGCCUUGGUGUCUGCCAGACACACUAAAUGUGGUUAACUGCAAAGAAACUCACUGUUCUCUCACAUUUACCGUUUAUCACAAGGCCAGCAAGGUGAACUAUCUACAGGAGCUGCACGGGGACAAGUUUAGUGCCCAACAUCUUCAGGUGGGCAGGAGCAUCCACCCAUCCAUUCACACAUUCAGGGUGUGUAGUAAUGUAGCGCUCAAGGACAGUGGCCCAGGAAUAUGGAAAUUUUUUUUUCUUUUUUUUUUUUUUAAACAGAAUAACAGUACUGGAAGCAGCUGAAGGCAGGAGAAUUAACAAGUGGUGGGAGACGUAAGACCAAUUUUAGGAGCUCCAGGCUUGUUCCUUAGUUCUUAAGAAAUGUUUGAAAGAUGACUGGAGAUGCUCAUCAUGAAGGUGUUCUGUUCCUGAUUUCCACUUCCAGACAUGGAAAGACCACGCUGUGUCCAGGGAAACCGGGAGCCCUAGGAAGGACCAAGGGCUGAUGUUUCGUUUAUGGUGUGGCACCGUCCUGGAUGCCGCAGGUCAUGCGAACAUCCUGCUUGAAAGUUUCAUCUCCGUUCCGCUGUGGAGCUGAUUAAAGGACUCCUCGGCCUCUUGCAAAACCUAGCACUUAUAAAUCUCUGCUGUUGGAUGCCAUAUCCAUACUGAGGUGGUGUUAAGUCAUAAGUCCCUGGGGGUCCAUAGCAUUGCUUCAGGGAGACACAGUGGCUUUUUCCCCAAAGGUUGUUUCAACAAAUGAAUAAUUUUUAGAAGAGUUACUGAGCAGGUGGAUCUCAAGGACCAGCCAGACUCAUAGUUCAAUAUAUGGUUGUACACAUACACACCUA
rnacentral:lncRNA from 1 species